UACGUAGGGUGCGAGCGUUAAUCGGAAUUACUGGGCGUAAAGCGUGCGUAGACGGUCAUGUAAGUCGGAUGUGAAAGCCCCGGGCUCAACCUGGGAAUUGCAUUCGAUACUGGAUAGCUAGAGUUCGGCAGAGGGAAGCGGAAUUUCCGGUGUAGCGGUGAAAUGCGUAGAUAUCGGAAGGAACAUCAGUGGCGAAAGCGGCUUCCUGGACCAGAACUGACGAUCAGGCACGAAAGCGUGGGGAGCAAACAGGG
rnacentral:rRNA from 1 species